rnacentral:rRNA from 1 species
GAUGAACGCUAGCGGCAGGCUUAACACAUGCAAGUCGAGGGGCAUCGGGAGGGAAGCUUGCUUUCCUUGCCGGCGACCGGCGCACGGGUGAGUAACACGUAUGCAACCUGCCCUCUUCAGGGGGACAACCUUCCGAAAGGGAGGCUAAUCCCGCGUAUAUCGGUUUCGGGCAUCCGAGAUCGAGGAAAGAUUCAUCGGAAGAGGAUGGGCAUGCGGCGCAUUAGCUUGACGGCGGGGUAACGGCCCACCGUGGCGACGAUGCGUAGGGGUUCUGAGAGGAAGGUCCCCCACACUGGUACUGAGACACGGACCAGACUCCUACGGGAGGCAGCAGUGAGGAAUAUUGGUCAAUGGGAGAGAUCCUGAACCAGCCAAGCCGCGUGAGGGAAGACGGCCCUAUGGGUUGUAAACCUCUUUUGUCGGAGAACAAAACCCGGGACGUGUCCCGGACUGCGUGUAUCCGAAGAAAAAGCAUCGGCUAACUCCGUGCCAGCAGCCGCGGUAAUACGGAGGAUGCGAGCGUUAUCCGGAUUUAUUGGGUUUAAAGGGUGCGUAGGCGGUCCGUUAAGUCAGCGGUAAAAUUGCGGGGCUCAACCCCGUCGAGCCGUUGAAACUGGCAGACUUGAGUUGGCGAGAAGUACGCGGAAUGCGCGGUGUAGCGGUGAAAUGCAUAGAUAUCGCGCAGAACUCCGAUUGCGAAGGCAGCGUACCGGCGCCAGACUGACGCUGAGGCACGAAAGCGUGGGGAUCGAACAGGAUUAGAUACCCUGGUAGUCCACGCAGUAAACGAUGAAUGCUGGUUGUCCGGGUCGAAUGAGAUCUGGGCGGCGAAGCGAAAGCGAUAAGCAUUCCACCUGGGGAGUACGCCGGCAACGGUGAAACUCAAAGGAAUUGACGGGGGCCCGCACAAGCGGAGGAACAUGUGGUUUAAUUCGAUGAUACGCGAGGAACCUUACCCGGGCUCAAACGGGAGCGGAAUGGACCAGAGACGGUUCAGCCUACGGGCCGCUUCCGAGGUGCUGCAUGGUUGUCGUCAGCUCGUGCCGUGAGGUGUCGGCUUAAGUGCCAUAACGAGCGCAACCCCCGCCGGCAGUUGCUAACGGGCAAUGCCGAGGACUCUGCCGGGACUGCCGCCGCAAGGCGAGAGGAAGGCGGGGAUGACGUCAAAUCAGCACGGUCCUUACGUCCGGGGCGACACACGCGUUACAAUGGGCGGUACAGCGGGAAGCCAGGCGGCGACGCCGAGCGGAACCCGAAAGCCGUUCUCAGUUCGGAUCGGAGUCUGCAACCCGACUCCGUGAAGCUGGAUUCGCUAGUAAUCGCGCAUCAGCCAUGGCGCGGUGAAUACGUUCCCGGGCCU